CAAGACCUGCACUUUUGGAGCGGCCGAUGUCUGAUUAGCUAGUUGGUGGGGUAAUGGCCUACCAAAGCUUCGAUCAGUAGCUGGUCUGAGAGGACGGCCAGCCACACUGGGACUGAGACACGGCCCAGACUCCUACGGGAGGCAGCAGUGGGGAAUUUUGGACAAUGGGCGUAAGCCUGAUCCAGCCAUGCCGCGUGAGUGAAGAAGGCCUUCGGGUUGUAAAGCUCUUUCAGCCGGGAAGAAAAGGUUGCGACUAAUAAUCGCAAUCCAUGACGGUACCGAAAGAAGAAGCACCGGCUAACUACGUGCCAGCAGCCGCGGUAAUACGUAGGGUGCGAGCGUUAAUCGGAAUUACUGGGCGUAAAGGGUGCGCAGGCGGUUUUGUAAGUCAGAUGUGAAAUCCCCGGGCUUAACCUGGGAACU
rnacentral:rRNA from 1 species